GGGGAUGCUGCGGGGACGCUGCGGGGACAGGAGCCGAGCCCGUCGUCGUGCUGCAGCCGCCCGCAAAUGGGAAUGGCGCGGGGAUGCGGUGCGGGGAGCGCUGGCAGAGCAAUGCCUCAGUGCCAGGAUGAUGGAACUCUUCAUCUACAAGGUGGAAAGAAAAAAUGAGCUCAAAGCUGAGAUGCUCUGGAAGGUGAUGACAAAAGACAGCAUGAAACGCUGUCACCUCUCGGAUGGAGGGUGGCAAACAACCAUCAUUGUGUGGCAUGUGACAAGAAUCUUGCAAAAUGCCAUUCCAGGAAAGGUAAAAUGGAGCGGAUCCAGUUUGCUUCACUGACCUGAACGGUUACUGGAAAUAUUUCA